rnacentral:rRNA from 1 species
GACGAACGCUGGCGGCGUGCUUAACACAUGCAAGUCGAACGGAAAGGCCCUGCUUUUGUGGGGUGCUCGAGUGGCGAACGGGUGAGUAACACGUGAGUAACCUGCCCUUGACUUUGGGAUAACUUCAGGAAACUGGGGCUAAUACCGGAUAGGAGCUCCUGCUGCAUGGUGGGGGUUGGAAAGUUUCGGCGGUUGGGGAUGGACUCGCGGCUUAUCAGCUUGUUGGUGGGGUAGUGGCGUACCAAGGCUUUGACGGGUAGCCGGCCUGAGAGGGUGACCGGGCACAUUGGGACUGAGAGACGGCCCAGACUCCUACGGGCGGCAGCAGUGGGGAAUAUUGCACAAUGGGCGGAAGCCUGAUGCAGCAACGCCGCGUGCGGGAUGACGGCCUUCGGGUUGAAAACCGCUGUCGCCUGUGACGAAGCGUGAGUGACGGUAAUGGGUAAAGAAGCACCGGCUAACUACGUG